rnacentral:lncRNA from 1 species
AGGAAGAAGAAGGAGGAGAACCAGCAGCUGAAUAGUGUCAAACCUUCCUCAAACUUAGUUAAAUUCAGAAGGUGGUGCGGUCGGGAUUGGACCAUCAUCAAGACAGGAACGACCCACAGGUGGAGCAGGUAGGUGACUUGCACCUUUCUUUUUCAUACGUUGAAUCUUGGAAUAUUUUAACUUGAGUACUACCAUAUUGUUAGAACCGAUAUUAAAUUGUCGAACGCUUAAUUGUUGAUAAAAGAGUGAUUAGCUUCGGCUAAUGGCAUCCAAACGGAUGGCCGGGACAAAGAAUGAUUAGCUUUGGCUAAUGGCGUCCGAAUGGAUGGCCGGGAUGAAGGACUGAUUAGCUUCGGCUAAUGGCAUCCAAACGGAUGGCCGGGACAAAGAGUGAUUAGCUUCGGCUAAUGGCAUCCGAAUGGAUGGCCGGGACAAAGAAUGAUUAGCUUUGGCAAAUGGCGUCCGAAUGGAUGGCCGGGUUAAAAAGGGAUGAUUUCGCUGCCGAUUGUGGAUCGGCAGCGACGCAGUUUCGCUGCCGAUUCUGGAUCGGCAGCGACACAGUAUUCGCUGCCGAUUCUGGAUCGGCAGCGAUGCAGUCUUCGCUGCCGAUACAGACAUCGGCAGCGACCCAGUUUCGCUGCCGAUUCCUUGAUCGGCAGCGAUGUAGUUUCGGCUGCCGAUUUUAGGAUUGGCAGCGACGCAGCUAUCGCUAUGGAAUCCGGAUGGAUAGCCGGGACAAAUAAACGACUAGUUUCGGCCAAUGGCAUUUGAAAACUUGUGUAUCUAUAUGUACUACUAAUUGUUACAUCAAAUACAUGAAGAAAUUAUAAAUGUUAAUGCUUAUUUAAUUGCUAGGCCGUUAGUUACCAUUAUUAUUAUUAUUAAGUAUUUGUUUUCUCUUAAAUGUUUUGUACUGCUGCAGGGACGUCACACCAACGAGAUGUCUAGGAUACCCGAUACACGGGAACCUACUUUUGCAAGGAAUUAAGUAGAUGCAUUCUAAAUCACAAUGUAUUUUGUAGGGAUCAAUGUACUGAAUGUAUAACUUUUAUUAGAUCCUUUUUGUUUAAAAAUUGUGAUGG